rnacentral:rRNA from 1 species
UACAUGUGGGGCAAGCGUUGUUCGGAAUUACUGGGCAUAAAGCGCACGUAGGCGGCUUUUUAAGUCAGAGGUGAAAUCCUGGAGCUCAACUCCAGAACUGCCUUUGAUACUGGAGAGCUUGAGUCCGGGAGAGGUGAGUGGAACUGCGAGUGUAGAGGUGAAAUUCGUAGAUAUUCGCAAGAACACCAGUGGCGAAGGCGGCUCACUGGCCCGGUACUGACGCUGAGGUGCGAAAGCGUGGGUAGCAAACAGG